UUGUUUCAUUCCGAUGAACAAAUAUGCCAAAAUUGGAACAGGAAAAGAUUAUCACGGCUCCUGCCCAAGGAUAACACGGAAAUUUUUGAAGAAAUUACACAUAAAU
rnacentral:snRNA from 1 species